rnacentral:sRNA from 1 species
GCACGGAAGGUCCAACGACUGUCCAGA